rnacentral:rRNA from 1 species
UCCGAGUUGUAAUUUGAAGAAGGUAUCUUUGGGUCUGGCUCUUGUCUAUGUUUCUUGGAACAGAACGUCACAGAGGGUGAGAAUCCCGUGCGAUGAGAUGAUCCAGGCCUAUGUAAAGUUCCUUCGAAGAGUCGAGUUGUUUGGGAAUGCAGCUCUAAGUGGGUGGUAAAUUCCAUCUAAAGCUAAAUAUUGGCGAGAGACCGAUAGCGAACAAGUACAGUGAUGGAAAGAUGAAAAGAACUUUGAAAAGAGAGUGAAAAAGUACGUGAAAUUGUUGAAAGGGAAGGGCUUGAGAUCAGACUUGGUAUUUUGUAUGUUACUUCUUCGGGGGUGGCCUCUACAGUUUAUCGGGCCAGCAUCAGUUUGGGCGGUAGGAGAAUUGCGUUGGAAUGUGGCACGGCUUCGGUUGUGUGUUAUAGCCUUCGUCGAUACUGCCAGCCUAGACUGAGGACUGCGGUUUAUACCUAGGAUGUUGGCAUAAUGAUCUUAAGUCGCCCGUCUUGAAACACGGACCAAGGAGUCUAACGUCUAUGCGAGUGUUUGGGUGUAAAACCCGUACGCGUAAUGAAAGUGAACGUAGGUGGGGGCCCGUAUGGGUGCACCAUCGACCGAUCCUGAUGUCUUCGGAUGGAUUUGAGUAAGAGCAUAGCUGUUGGGACCCGAAAGAUGGUGAACUAUGCCUGAAUAGGGUGAAGCCAGAGGAAACUCUG